UUUUUUUUUUUAGUGAUUGAUUUAGAGCAUUAUGUUGUUUAUUAUAUAUUUUAUUUAUUUUUAUCAUUAUGUUAUUUUUUAUAUUUUUAUUUAUGGUAUUGAGUAUAAAAUAUCAUUGAUGAUAACAAUAAUAGGGUUAGGUGAAUCGUAAUUGUGAAAGUAAGAGCAUAAAAUAUAGUAUUAGAUGAUGAACAGAUUACAUUACUGAAUCCCACUGGUCUUAGAAAAAGAUCUGUAGAAUAGGAGAUAAACAAACAAACAAAGAUUUAUUCUGAAACACAAGUACUUAACUUAACUCAACAACACAGCUAUAGAAAGAUGAUACAUAAAUCAUCUUCUAUAUAUGGAGAUUGAAGUUUUAACAGUGUUUGGUGCAGAAGCAUCUACGACGGAAGCCACGGCAGUGUCCUCCGCUGAAACGUUCAGUUCGGCAGACAGAAGCACAGUUGGUGUCACUCACACAUGGUCCCUUGAAACGGUGGCUCUGAGACUCACAAGUUCUUGCCUCCGCCACCAUUCUUGGUCCCAUCUCUGCUCAACACAUUAUGCAACACAACUUAUAGACAAGAUCACAAUAAAGAAAACCCUAAAAUGGAAGUAUUGAGCAUGGAGAAAAGCUUACCAGUGGCGAGAAGAAGCAGAAGAAAGACGAAGAUGGUUGAGACAAAAGACACAGAGCGAGCCAUGGAUGAGAGAGUGAGCAAGUUUGAAGAACAACUGAAGAAGCUGGGGUUGAUAGCGAAAUGCAAUGGAGCUGCUUUGCCUUAAAUAGAGAUCAUCAAGGUAAAAACAUGUGGUAAUAUUUCUUACUUACAUUAAAUUACUUAAUCAAUUAUUUAGUAAUUUUAAUUGCAUCUUUUAAUUCAUUCUUCAACUUUUAUUUUAUUAUUUUUUAAUUAUUAUUUUUUAAUUAAUUGUACAAAAAGUGUAUUCUAGCCACUUUUGAGAACUCGUGAAAAUAUAGCAAGAUUGAGUGAAUCUAUAAAGUUUAGAGUAAUAAAAAAUGUAAAAAAAAAAAAUACUGAAUUUAAAUAGUUUUUUAAUUGAAUUUUAUACCGGGAAUUUAAAAUUUCUGAAGAACUAGUUAAAGAUAAUAAAUUUCGAUAUUCAACUUAAACAAGUUAAAAAUUAUAAAAUAGUUACUAAAUAAGGAGUUUAACUAUGACAAUGAAUAUAAAAAUGAAAAGAAAAUAAUUUAUACUUUCGAGUCCUGAAUUAUAUAAUGAAAAGAAAAUAAUGUUUUCUGGUUUGCAUUAAGACCCUGUUUGUUUUAAAAUGCUUUAGGAGAAAAAGAUGAUUAUUUGUGAAAUGAAUGAUCGAGAAAAAGGUGAGGAAGCAUCAUUAUUGAGAAGCGGUGGUGAUGAGAGAGGCUUUAUCGCUUUGAGACAAUCUUUAUGACAAACACGGUGUCGACCUUCAGCUUUUCCAUUUUCACGUUUUUUUAACAUUUCAGAACUCAUCACUACACGUAAGCGCGUUUCCUUCUUUGCUCAUUCUGUAUCACAUGGGCUGGUAAGUGGGUCCCUUCGCUCGUACCAAACAGGACCUUUCGCUCACUUUUUUAUUUACUUUUUUUCAUUUCUUUGAAUUUGGUUGUAGAGUAUUACGUAUUCAUAUUUCUUUAAACAUCACUUUUUGUAAAGAGGGAAUAGACAGAAGAAAUAGAAAAUAUGGGGAUGGAAUUAAGAGAAUUAUUAUUAUUUUUUUCGGUUGGUCGAUCGAAUUAUUUUAUUUUAUUAUUUUAACGAUUUUCUCGUACUUAUCUUGUUUAUCUGUUUUUCGUUUUUUUAAAUUCUAUACUUUGAUAAUACUUAUAAAAGACAUUCUUACAUUAAAGUAAGACUACUCGGUGUUAUUAGUACUGGAUGAUGAAGUACUUGAUUCUUGAAAUCUGUAUCUACUUAUAUGAUUAUCAUGGAUAUUUUAUUGGACCGGAUUAAGG
rnacentral:lncRNA from 1 species